ACAGCAGGGCUUGGAGAGGAAGGAGUGCUGGGACUGGGCAGAAUCCAAGAGGCCCUUCAGCGUCCAACUUAUCGUUUAUUCCAUUUUCCCCUUUCCCUUCAUCACUGUUCCUUUCUCCAACCGUGGUUACCUCUAAAACGGCUAAACUGGCACCCACAGCUAUAGCACCGUGCCCUGUGUGAUGGUUGGUGGCGUCAGCUUGACAGAAUCUAGAACCUUCUGGGAGAUGGACCUCGGGCAUGCCUGUGGGGGAUUAUCUUGAUGACAUUAAUGAGGUAGGAAGACCCUCCCACUGUGGGUGGCAUCAUUUCCUGGCUGGGAUCCUGGACAGUGUAAAUGGGGAAAAGAAGCCAAGUGUAGAACCAUUUAUUGUUCUCUUCUCCCUGACUGCGGUGUGGCCAGCCUGCUUCCCGCUCCUGCCUCCUGCCUUCGCUGCUAUGACGGACUGUACUUCCACCUGUGAGCUAAAAUGAACUUUGCCUUUUGUGAGUUGCUUGUGUCAACGUAUUUUAUCACAGCGACAGGAAACACUAACACACCCUAUUAAUGACACCAGGCCAGAGGAUAAAUGGGGACUGAAACAAAGUUCCAUUGAAACCCAGAGGAAAGGCAUCUGUUACUCCCUCAAGCCUGCAGGGGGCGCCUGCCUGUAAUUUACACCACAAUGCCCUUUACCCAGCCGCGGCGCCUCAGCUUGGCCCACUCUAGCUGUGGCACCUUAAAUCCAUCUUCACAAUAGGAGUAGCCAACAGGACACCAUCAGUUUGCUGCCUGCUGUCCUUGUCCUUCAGGAGCCUCUCAUUGUCCUCAGCAGAGUCUGAGUUCCCAGGACAGCCCUGCCUGGCUUGUAAGCUUUCCCAACCCUCCUACCCUCGCUGAGCUGAACUUCUGGCCUCUCCUUGUGUGCUCCUUUCCCAGGAGGACUUGAUCCGCUUUCCACAGUGAGUAAACCCAAUCUUUUAUGGAUGAGAGGAGACACACGCCGGGAAACCUGUAGGAAGAACAGCCUUCCCUUGAGACGUCUAAAUCCCAGCAGGCACCAGGCCACAUCUGCCUCAUGGAAAUUCUGAUGCCCACCCAAGGUACCUGAUGGCUUCCCUGUGACCCAAGCACUUGGGACAAACAGAUGCCCU